rnacentral:misc_RNA from 1 species
GAAAAAGAGAAGUCUUUCCUUCACCAGAUUGGUGCGACCGGAAACCUACAAAUAUCACAAAAUCCAAUAAAAGCUCUACACAACCACACAAUAAUGGCUCAAACGGCUUUAUCCUUCUUUUCUGCAGUGGAAUGCAACAUUACAGUAGAAAUUCCAAACAUGCAUAUGUUCUCAACAACUCUAAAGACACAAAACCAAAAGGAUUCAUCAUCACACUAUUUGCCACAAAGCUCACCAGAAAACUCAACUUGGGGAUUAAUAAGAUAUGUAAAGGCAAUCAACCAUACAGGGGAUAAGAGCUACUGCUUUUAAUGAAAUGUCCCACCAUCCAGAGGUAUGUACGUCUACGGAAAAACAAAACAGUCUCAGAAGUAGGGGCUGUAACGCAUCGGCGCCCUAGCCCUUGGAAUCUUUCCAUAUCCAAAAGGAGGGAAAAAAUAUGGAGCAGGCAUGAAUGGCGCCCGGCCUCGGAAUCCCAUAUACAGGUUAGGACGCCUAGCACGGUAUGGCUUCAUACCAGGAACAUUAGUCCUCUUUGCAGAUACCUUAAGUUGGCGGCCAUGAAGUUCAGAUUCAUUCAGAAGAAGAGCUUCUUGGACAGCUUCAGAUUCAACAAACUCAACGUAAGCAUAUCCUUUAGGUUGCCCAAACUUGUUUGUGCGGAUUGUAACUCUAUUCACCAUCCCACAUGCCUGAAAAUGCUGCUGCACUUCCUCUGGAGUGCAUGAAUAAUCCACAUUUCCAACAAAGACGGAUCGAGAAUCCACUUCUUCCUUGUUUGCCUGGUUUGCAGCAGCAGCAGCAGGGUCUUGAACAGAGC